CGAGGGGAGUGAUGGGAGCAGGUGUUAGUAUGGUGAGCACCUGGGCCUCCUAAUGAGAAGGAUCAGUCUGGAGUGUGGAACCACAGGGAGCAGUUUAGGUUUCUGGAGGAAGCCCUGACCCAGGGAGAAGCUGCUGGGAGGGGAUGCAGUGGGAAAGGAGUCUGCUGCAGAGUAGAAGACAGUGAGAAGAAAUGUGUGGUUAAAAGGCAUAAAGAAGAGCCCCACAAGCCUGCUGCAGGAGGGGUGAUGUGCCCAGAACUUCAGUAAACCACAGGCUAUGAGAGGACUUGAGAGAAGGCAGCCGGAGAGUCAGCUCUUUCUAACAGAGCUGCAAGGACUUGGUAGUCGCCCAGAAGGGGGAAGAGCUGAGCCCAGGAACUGGACUGAAGACCAGCCCGGAGAGGGGCAGCAGCAUGAUUUGCUUAGACAUUUUGUUUGCGCUUUAAUUGGAUGUUUGUUACCCUGGAAGGGGACUGACCUUUCAGUGUGACCUGGCCGGAGGGCUGAGUCGCCCAGAAGACGACUGCUGCAGAAACAGGUGGGCCGACAAAAGGGGGCCCUCGACUGGGAAGGGUCCCUGCAAUGUUGCAUACUCCCUGCUAGGGGGCUUCGUAAGUGCCGAUGAACAGCUGUUGUCUCAAGAAAGCCCCCUGUUCUGUGUUUAGAAUGGAGCCAGAAGCAACCCUCCAGGCGGUUUUUUGUAAAGGAGAAGGGGCCUGGAGAAACUUGAGCGCAUCUAUCCAUCCUCCCUCAUCACCAUGGUAUCAAGGCACCUGGACUCAGUGUAGAAGUGGAGAGAGACAGAAUUCUGGACACAGUGAGAUGGAGGAGGGGAAAAAACACAAAAGAUGAGUAGGCUGAGAAGGAGAGUGAGUCUGAGAAGUACUAGAACUAGACAGUAACACUUUAGGGGCAGGGAUCGUAUUUUUGUUACAUGUUCGAUGGGUCCCUGAUGCAUGAUUUGGGUCCCUAGGCACUACCACAAUAUAAUGAGUGGUGCUGCUGGUACUAAUCAAUAAAUAACAGGAAGUGCUGCAUCUUCUGGUUAAAAGAACAACACAAAUAUGUCAUCACAUGUAGCUCGUGUACCAGUCAAUGUGCAAAUUUACCUUUACCAGUCAUAUGGAAUUAUAAAGUGACUAAUGUCUAUGUACCUGUCAUAACAAAUGUAUAUUCCUGAACCUUUAGGAAGAGAGACAGUUUCUCAGGAUAAUUUCAUCAGAGAUUUUUUUUUUUAAAUCACUGAAGAAACUUCUAUGUGAUUAAAUCAUCCAGUUGGACCUAUUGUAAUUAGUUUGCUCUUUAAUCAGGAGGAAUAGAAUGAUAAUAUCAUAAUUGCAAUGGAAACCAGUGGAGAGACUACAGAAUACCGGGCAGGAUACACCUGCUUCUAGAUAAUAACAUGUUCAACUAUUGCAAACAACCACACUGACCUUCAGUGAACUGUUAACAAAGAGGGAGAAAGGCAGGACCAAGGAUUCUCAUUAAACAGACUUGAGCUUUUGCUCAUUAAUAAGGAACCAUAAAUAUGACCAUAACAAGGACCAUUACAGUUUCUCCUGGCUUGAACUCACCUUCAACAAUCCCUGCCUCUCAGUAAGGAAGAAAUCAAAUCUUCUUGUUUGAGUGAUGUGAAACAAAUCUCAUUGCCUUCACCACCACCAGCACACAUACACAUUUCCACAGGUCCCAGGAAAGCAAAAUAUUUUAGACAUGAUUUAAAGGACAUGGGCAUCUUGUCUACAAGGCUGAGGCCAGCAAUAGGGACCAGGAAGUCCCGAAUUCUAAUCCCGCUGCUGACGCUGACUCUGUCCAUAGGUUUGGAAAAACUACUUCACUUUUCUUCUUAUUUAUUUGUGUUGCUGUACCAUCUAGGGGCCUUAGUCAUGGACUAAGACCCUCUGGUGCAGGAUGCUGUACGAACACAAAACAAAAGAUGUUCUCCACCCCGUUUUUGAAUUUAUCCUCCGUAAAAUGGAAAGAAUAAGUCUGAUGGUUGUGAAGAUUGUCAUAUUUGUAAAGUGCUAUAAUUCCCCCUCCCCUCCCCACAACAUAUGGGGAUUUUGUGUGAAAAUCAAUGGUGGUGCUUAGUGGCAGAGCAACUGUCCCAAAGCAGUUGGAAUGCAAGCACCAGCCUCAACCAAUCACGGAGCACCAGCUUAGCCAUGACACAGCAACAACUUGUCUUAGUUGUCAGGCAUCAGGGUUGCAGGUAGUCUUGCCGGGCAGUUUAGAAUUGAGGGUUUUAGAAGAGAGUGGCGUGAAGGGUCACUGGAGUGAAUGGAGAGCUGGCCUGUUGCUGACCUAUUUCAGGAGGAAAGGGUGCAGGAGCUUGUCACCUUGGAGAUGUACAGGUACAAAGAUCAGAGAAGGGCCUGUUACAACAGCUCCUUUGCUUCACGCAGGCGCGAGGGCUUCUCUCCUUUAAUAUUAAUAUUCCAGGUAGCUUGAGCCACAAAGUUUGAAUCUGGAUUUGGAAUCCAGUUUGUCAGAGUGAAUCUAGGCCUCUGGUUCAGGUCCACCUUGCGAUACAUCUCACAUGGGGUGAAAUUGACUGCUGUGUGGAAUAAGGCUUUGACACCAAAGUCCCACUUCCUUUCAAGAUUUACAUGAGGCAUAGGCCUUGCCCUGUCCCUCUGCACAGAGGUGAAUGUCACCCAGGGAGAUCAUCAGCAAAGGUGGUAUAUUUUUAUGUUAUGAAGGAGCUUUUCACACAUUUCUUUCUGCUGUGUUGGUCUCCAUGGCCAAUAUUUUAUUUGCUUGCUUGGCACUUGCCUGCUUUGUUGGAAUAUUGUUGGAAAAUCGAAUGAUAGGCUUUUUUUACACAAAAUGCAUUGAUUUUUUUUUUUAAUUGUUUCAGUCUUUUCAUUAAGAUCAGGCUGCAUUGAUUCCCACCACUGGGUUAACUCAGUUGGUUAAAAAUGGAAGGAUUGGGGGAGAAAAGAACAGAAUUUCCUUCUAUAUCUGCACCCUGCUCCUGAGAUCUCUUGAGAUAGUGUUUCCAAUUUCCUGAUCAGAAAAGGAUUUCAUGGCUUCCUGUGCUUUUGUAAGCACCACUUUUUUUUUUCUCUUGCACAUAAUCCUGUUAAUGUAACGGUAUAAAAUUUCUCCUAAUUGCUGUGUGUUGUCACACUAGCACUGAGGAGCAAUUAGCCAUGACCUAUUUGGUUGCAACAUUUUGCUCGGGCAGCAUCAAGUAACACCUGAUUGGUGGGAAGUAAAUAAAGUGUUGCCAGGAUAAACCAGUGCUCCAUCUGUGCCCCCUAGUCUGAUUCCAUCUUCAAGACCCAUCUCUGCUAGGGACAUGGGUUCUUUUCCUCUUCCUGUGUGCUGCUCUGGGCUGAGAAUAGCUUUGGAUGGCCGGAGGGAUCACCUUUUCAUUAAAAUCUAUAGCUGCUGACAGACCUCAAAAGAUCAUGUUCAAAUAAGCUUUGAAAUCUAUGCUGUAACCAUCUAUAGCAGUGGUUUCCACGCUGGGAUCAUGCUCCCUCAACCCCCUGCUUUAUUUAACAAUACAGGAAGCACAUAUAUUGUAACUCUGCUUGCACAGGAAAAUGUGUGUAUUGGUAACAUGAGGAAAUAGAUCUAGAACCAAGGGGAAUUCAUGGCAAAGGGCCUACAACAAGAAAUGGUCUUGACCUGCAAAAUUUGAGAAUUACCCAUACAUAAAGAAUGAAUGAGUCAAAUAAGAAAGUGGUGUGUUGAACUGUAGUUAAGAGGCCCGGGACAAAUUAAUCAUAUUGAAGCUGAUGGAAUUACACCUGAGAUGGUGGAUUUGAUAGUCUUUUCUCUUUCUUUAUAUAAAACCAGAAACAGCAUUCAAUUUGUUCUCCACACCUGCAGGAGGCUCCCCCUCCACCUCUGCUGAAGUCAGAAGCUGUGUGAGGUUCCAGCCUGUA